AAAUGUUGUUAUUUUUCCCAUUCUUAAGUAGUCCUUUGUUGUCACGUUUUCAAUUAUUUAUUUGUGGCGGUCUAAUAAGCCCUCAGUCACAUAGGCCUACAGACCGGUUGGCAGCUACCUGGCAAACACCAAACGCCAGGGGAAAGUGAGUAUUCCCCAAUUGGUGUUCGCAACUGCUGAGAAAGUCAAGGCUAGUGACCCACUGGCAACUGUUGUUUGCUCGGGAAAAAUUUGUACUUCCAGUGAUGUAUUUAUCAUGUGGUUGAGAGAAGUUGCUUGCUGGAAAUUUGUUGAGGGAAAUUUUUCCCUCGUUGAGUUGCUUUGAUCAUUAGCAGAUUGACAUGAUUGCCUGUAGUUUGGAUGGAACACACCACCUUCUGGAUGUUCUAUCAAAUGCUAAUUGGACUUAAAAAUUCAAACAUUUUGCUAUUCACAGAAGCCUUUGCUAAUGUGAACCGUGGCUUGCGGAAAAACAAACAAAAAAAACCAACGAAAAAUGAAGAUGCUGAUUUGUAUUAGGCCUAUUAGAACUACAAAUAAUCACAAAACAUAUAUUGAUUGCAAAUUUAUCUGUGCGUACUAGCAUUUAUCCAUUAAUGGAGAUGAAUUAGGACUGAGGCUGCUCUCACUACAAGUGGGCACACAAUGAAGACAAUUCUAGAAGCACAGAGCAGAAUGCUUAAUUAACGUUAAGAUUACUUAUUGUCUCCCAUACGAGAAGCUUAUCUUGGGGUUGAAGAAUAGCUUCAUCAAAGCAGGCAUUACAAUGAAAAACACAUUAAAUAGGCACAUAUGCAAACACCAGUCUCAGAUAAAAACAACUGAGCACAUUAGUCACAACUGAUUUAAAAUCUUUUAGAGAACUUACAUUAAACUGGUACAUUAAACUGCUAAAACACCUCCCACUUCACAAGCUCACCAACACUGGACUGAGGUAAAGAAAAAAAAAAAAAAGCAGAUAAAGUAAAUGAAAUUUAGUAAAGGUUUAAAGGUUUUUAAGGAAACAUUGGAGCUUGUUAGCAAUGUUGUUCAAUAAUCAGAUUUAUGCUGACAAAUGAAACUGACGCACCAUUUACAAUUUGCUCAUGGCACAUCUUGUUGAAGCAGCAUGAUGGCAGCAUGCCUCUUCUUCCUCACCUAGCAAGGUGUGUAAUAUAAACAUUGUUAAACAGAAUGAUGUAUUUCAUCAUGUAUCAUUGAUGUCAUUAUUAGUGAUGACCCCAACCGUAACUUUAACUUUAAUUCUAACCCGACAAUCAUAAUAUUUUUUUUAUUAAAAUGCCCCCCCCCC
ensembl:lncRNA